rnacentral:lncRNA from 1 species
GGGUUUCACAGGUCAGGGCUUUGCUAACUGUGGAGUUCUGAUCAUCUCAUGAAGUUUCUCCAGGAGACUCACACUGUAGGCGUUCCUGAUGAGCUGUGCCACGUUGCUGGAGUCAUCUGACAGCUCCCCAAUGGUCACAGAUGGGGAGAAUUUGUUCCUAGAGGAGCUGAUUUCUGAAGUAAGUUGAUGAAUCAAAUCAGGGUCCCUACAUUGGUCCUCUCAGGUGGUCAUCACUGUCUGUCAAAGAGGAGGAAGCUGAGGUCCCCAGUGGUCCCACUGCAGACCUUAGAUCUGAGGUUCUCCUGUAGGGAUCCUGCUGGCCCAGAAGAACUAGACAUCAGACUUUAAAAGUAGAUUAUGGCCUUCAUCUUCCUCAUCUCAGGCCACUGGACAUGUAUCCUAUUCUGGUCCCAGGCCCUCAAUCUGGCACGCAGAAACAGAACUUUGGUGAUGUUGUGAGAAUGCUGGGCUGCACCCUGCAGCUGAAGUGCCCCCCUUGCUCAAGAUCAUCAAUCUCACCUCAUAGGUUUUCACCAUCCUUGAGGGCACCACGAAGAUGGGCUGGAUGUUGUUUUCAGCCAGUUUGCUUGCCAGCUGGACCACUGACUGGUAGUCCUGUGGAGAAGAGACAUUUUGUCAGGAUGCCCAUCCAAAGAAAGUGCCUAGCGUUCUG